GACGUAGGAGGCGAGCGUUGUCCGGAUUCAUUGGGCGGAAAGAGCUCGUAGGCGGUUUGUCGCGUCUGCCGUGAAAGUCCGGGGCUCAACUCCGGAUCUGCGGUGGGUACGGGCAGACUAGAGUGAUGUAGGGGAGACUGGAAUUCCUGGUGUAGCGGUGAAAUGCGCAGAUAUCAGGAGGAACACCGAUGGCGAAGGCAGGUCUCUGGGCAUUAACUGACGCUGAGGGGCGAAAGCAUGGGGAGCGAACAGG
rnacentral:rRNA from 1 species